rnacentral:rRNA from 1 species
UACGUAGGGUACAAGCAUUAAUCGGAAUUAUUGGGCGUAAAGGGCGCGUAGGCGGCGGGGUCAGUCGGGUGUGAAAUCUUGGGGCUUAACCCCGAAACGGCACUCGAAACUGCCCGGCUGGAGGGCCGGAGAGGAGAUCGGAAUUCAUGGUGUAGCAGUGAAAUGCGUAGAGAUCGUGAGGAAGACCCGUGGCGAAGGCGGAUCUCUGGACGGCUAACUGACGCUGAGGCGCGAAGGCCAGGGGAGCAAACGGG